GUACUGAUGAAGAGUCCCAAACCAGGACUAGACAGCUGUCCAGUAC
rfam:Trichobilharzia regenti genome assembly, scaffold: TRE_scaffold0000319